AACAUCGCGCACCUGCGGGAACCUGCGGAAGGAUCAUUACCGAGUUUACAACUCCCAAACCCCUGUGAACAUACCUAUACGUUGCCUCGGCGGAUCAGCCCGCGCCCUGUAAAACGGGACGGCCCGCCCGAGGACCCUAAACUCUGUUUUUAGUGGAACUUCUGAGUAAAACAAACAAAUAAAUCAAAACUUUCAGCAACGGAUCU
rnacentral:misc_RNA from 1 species